rnacentral:rRNA from 1 species
AGAGUUUGAUCAUGGCUCAGAUUGAACGCUGGCGGCAGGCUUAACACAUGCAAGUCGAGCGGGGAAGGGUAGCUUGCUACCUGACCUAGCGGCGGACGGGUGAGUAAUGCUUAGGAAUCUGCCUAUUAGUGGGGGACAACAUUCCGAAAGGAAUGCUAAUACCGCAUACGCCCUACGGGGGAAAGCAGGGGAUCUUCGGACCUUGCGCUAAUAGAUGAGCCUAAGUCAGAUUAGCUAGUUGGUGGGGUAAAGGCCUACCAAGGCGACGAUCUGUAGCGGGUCUGAGAGGAUGAUCCGCCACACUGGGACUGAGACACGGCCCAGACUCCUACGGGAGGCAGCAGUGGGGAAUAUUGGACAAUGGGGGGAACCCUGAUCCAGCCAUGCCGCGUGUGUGAAGAAGGCCUUAUGGUUGUAAAGCACUUUAAGCGAGGAGGAGGCUACUCUAGUUAAUACCUAGGGAUAGUGGACGUUACUCGCAGAAUAAGCACCGGCUAACUCUGUGCCAGCAGCCGCGGUAAUACAGAGGGUGCGAGCGUUAAUCGGAUUUACUGGGCGUAAAGCGUGCGUAGGCGGCUUUUUAAGUCGGAUGUGAAAUCCCUGAGCUUAACUUAGGAAUUGCAUUCGAUACUGGGAAGCUAGAGUAUGGGAGAGGAUGGUAGAAUUCCAGGUGUAGCGGUGAAAUGCGUAGAGAUCUGGAGGAAUACCGAUGGCGAAGGCAGCCAUCUGGCCUAAUACUGACGCUGAGGUACGAAAGCAUGGGGAGCAAACAGGAUUAGAUACCCUGGUAGUCCAUGCCGUAAACGAUGUCUACUAGCCGUUGGGGCCUUUGAGGCUUUAGUGGCGCAGCUAACGCGAUAAGUAGACCGCCUGGGGAGUACGGUCGCAAGACUAAAACUCAAAUGAAUUGACGGGGGCCCGCACAAGCGGUGGAGCAUGUGGUUUAAUUCGAUGCAACGCGAAGAACCUUACCUGGCCUUGACAUACUAGAAACUUUCCAGAGAUGGAUUGGUGCCUUCGGGAAUCUAGAUACAGGUGCUGCAUGGCUGUCGUCAGCU